UGAGCUGUUCUGCUCAGAAAGUGAUAGCGAAAGAAGAGACGUAAAAGAUGGAAAGAGAAAGAGAGAUGAAAUGAAUAUAGAAGAAAGGAAACGGUCAUUGCUGCAAACAAUCUUGUGAGGAGCUCAAUUCAAGGUGUAACCUGGUGUUUUGAAGCAGCACCAAAGUCAUGGGUUUGAUUCUGAAGGACUACAUGAACUGGAAAAGAGAUACAUACUUUGAAUGCAUUGACAGCAGAGAGGUGACAGGAAAGUACUGGGUGAAGAGAGGGAUCGGCAAAGGACCUUGAGACGGGAUUCAAACUCGGGUCGCCGUGAUUGUGCUAUAUAUCUCGUUCCUUUUCAAUGAAUAUUAUGUCUUUAAAGCAAUUUUAACACCCUGUGUGAUUUGUAAACUGUUACUUUUGAAUGUUGUCAUCACAUAUACAGUUUCAUAUGCAUGAGUUUUCUAAUUCAGUAGGUAGCUUGGUAGCUUACGCGAUACAGUGUUGCACUUGAGUAAUGAAGAGCUCUGGUAUGAACCCUGUGAAACUACAGUUCGACAAAACAGCUCACUUCCGCAUAAGGAAGUUAAACUAGCACUAUAUAUCACUUUUGCAUUUUUUAACACUAUCAAGUAGGUUUAGGGUUAGGUUUGGUGUAGGGGAUGACCCAAAAGCACCCACUAGGAGGAUGCAGUGUCUCGUUCCCCUUUUCAGGGAACCAUGGUUACAUGCAUAACCUGAGACGUUCCUUUUCGAAUGGGAACUGUAGGUUGCAUCCCCUAGAGGGCGCUUUAGGGUCAUACUGAGGACAUUCCCUAAAAGCGCCCUCUAAAGGACGCAUAGUUACAUGGAACCAUGGUUGCAUGCAUAACCUGAGACGAUUUCCAUCUCGAUAGAACAUUAAACUUUUAGCAACACUGCCCGGAUUUUUGAAUUCUGAAUCGCCGCAAUAUGUACCUCAAGCAGCGUAAUAAAAACGCAGGAAUACAUGCCUGCACCAAUGUUAUAAAA